GGUUGAUCCUGCCGGAGGUCACUGCUAUUGGGAUUCGCCUAAGCCAUGCGAGUCGAGAGGGUUCGGCCCUCGGCUGACGGCUCAGUAACACGUGGAUAAUCUGCCCUUAGGUGGAGGAUACUCUCGGGAAACUGAGAAUAAUACUCCAUAGAUCUAGGAUGCUGGAAUGCACCUAGGUUUAAAGCUCCGGCGCCUAAGGAUGAGUCUGCGGACUAUCAGGUUGUAGUCAGGGUAAUGACCUGACUAGCCUACGACGGAUACGGGUUGUGAGAGCAAUAACCCGGAGAUGAUAUCUGAGACACGAUAUCAGGCCCUACGGGGCGCAGCAGGCGCGAAAACUUCACACUGUGCGAAAGCACGAUGAGGGAAUCCCAAGUGCUUGCUCAUUAGAGUAAGCUGU
rnacentral:rRNA from 1 species